UCCUCCAAAAUGUCAAAACACAAAGAAGAUAACUCUUUCUUAAAUUUUCAACCAUCAAUUUUUUAUUCACUCAGCCUAAAAGUCCUGAUUAUCAGUUCUGGGUCCCUGGCAAUGACUGUUGGGUACAAACUGCAAAGCUUUGUUCUGCAGGUAGGGCUGGGCUUUUCAUUGACCAUGGGUUGGAAUAGUUCUGUGGGCAUAGUGUGUCUUUGAAGCCACUAUGUUUUCUGCACUUGUGACUAGAGAGCACCUUGAUAGCUCAGUUGGUAGAGCGGUGGACUGUAAGAUGCUCCUUGUGUGAAACGCUGUGAUCCUAAGGUCGCUGGUUCAACUCCAGCUCCAAGCACCUCCUUGUCAUUGGAAAUACCCCCAAGCCUUGUCUUUAUCUGUCAACUCCUCCAAAAUGUCAAAACACAAAGAAGAUAACUCUUUCUUAAAUUUUCAACCAUCAAUUUUUUAUUCACCCAGCCUAAAAGUCCUGAUUAUCAGUUCUGGGUCCCUGGCAAUGACUGUUGGGUACAAACUGCAAAGCUUUGUUCUGCAGGUAGGGCUGGGCUUUUCAUUGACCAUGGGUUGGAAUAGUUCUGUGGGCAUAGUGUGUCUUCGAAGCCACUAUGUUUUCUGCACUUGUGACUAGAGAGCACCUUGAUAGCUCAGUUGGUAGAGCGGUGGACUGUAAGAUGCUCCUUGUGUGAAACGCCGUGAUCCUAAGGUCGCUGGUUCAACUCCAGCUCCAAGCACCUCCUUGUCAUUGGAAAUACCCCCAAGCCUUGUCUUUAUCUGUCAACUCCUCCAAAAUGUCAAAACACAAAGAAGAUAACUCUUUCUUAAAUUUUCAACCAUCAAUUUUUUAUUCACUCAGCCUAAAAGUCCUGAUUAUCAGUUCUGGGUCCCUGGCAAUGACUGUUGGGUACAAACUGCAAAGCUUUGUUCUGCAGGUAGGGCUGGGCUUUUCAUUGACCAUGGGUUGGAAUAGUUCUGUGGGCAUAGUGUGUCUUCGAAGCCACUAUGUUUUCUGCACUUGUGACUAGAGAGCACCUUGAUAGCUCAGUUGGUAGAGCGGUGGACUGUAAGAUGCUCCUUGUGUGAAACGCUGUGAUCC
rnacentral:lncRNA from 1 species